rnacentral:rRNA from 1 species
UACGGAGGGUGCAAGCGUUAAUCGGAAUUACUGGGCGUAAAGCGUGCGCAGGCGGUUUGUUAAGUCUGUUGUGAAAUCCCCGAGCUCAACUUGGGAAUUGCAAUGGAUACUGGCGGGCUGGAGUAUGGUAGAGGAAGGUGGAAUCCCCGGUGUAGCAGUGAAAUGCGUAGAGAUCGGGAGGAACACCAGUGGCGAAGGCGGCCUUCUGGACCAAUACUGACGCUCAUGCACGAAAGCGUGGGGAGCAAACAGG